rnacentral:tRNA from 1 species
GAGACUGUUGCUCAGUGGCAGAGCAUUUGCCUGGCAUGUGUCAGGCACUGAGUUCAAUCCUCAGCAUCACG